GCCAACAGGCUUCAAGCAUCAACAAUCACUGCCUGGUUCAGAUGUGUGUCAGCGCUGAGAUCACUGCCUGGUUCAGAUGGGUGUCAGCGCUGAGAUCAUCCAUUCCUACGGCCUGAGAAGGCCCUCAACCUUUGAUAUGUGGAAAUUGCUCCCUGCCGCUGGAACGCGGUUCCCGCGUGAACCCAUGAUGUCACAUGAUGGAGUGACCUCAUCCCUGCUGGCUUCCUGUCCGCCUGAUUGGCACCUGAGGCUUGCUUCCGAUUGCAACGGCACAAAUUCAGCCUACAAUAAAGUUUCUCCAAGUACAAACUUUCCAGACAGCAUCGUUCAUCGUUGCCUCUGAAACAGGCUCACCUCUCCAUCUCAAGCUUCAAUAACAGAACGGUGAACCGCACUGAUGGAUUUUCAAAAGC